rnacentral:rRNA from 1 species
AGGGCCAACCGAGUGGCGUAAGGGUGAGUAAUGCAUUGAUAACCUACCUUUGAGACGGGGAUAACAACGUUCCGCAAGGGACUACCGAAAGGGUUGCUAAUACCCGAUAAAACUCUAGAUACUUAGGUAUCGAGAGUCAAAGGUUUGGGGCUGAAAGGUUCCAUAUGCUCAGGGAGGGGUCAAUGUCCUAUCAGCUAGUUGGUAGGGUAAAGGCCUACCAAGGCGAAGACGGGUAGCCGGCCUGAGAGGGUGGUCGGCCACACUGGGACUGAGACACUGCCCAGACUCCUACGGGAGGCUGCAGUCGAGAAUCUUUCGCAAUGCCCGGAAGGGUGACGAAGCGACGCCGCGUGUGGGAAGAAGGCCUUCGGGUUGUAAACCACUGUCGGGAGUUAAGAAGUGUAGGGGGGUUAAUAGUCUCCUUACUUGACGUUAGCUCCGGAGGAAGCCACGGCUAACUCUGUGCUAGCAGCCGCGGUAAUACAGAGGUGGCAAGCGUUGUUCGGAAUUAUUGGGCGUAAAGAGCACGUAGGCGGCCCUGCAAGUCAGCUGUGAAAUCCUUCUGCUCAACGGAAGAACGGCAGUUGAUACUAUAGGGCUCGAGUGCGGGAGGGGAGAGUGGAACUUCUGGUGGAGCGGUGAAAUGCGUAGAUAUCAGAAGGAACAUCGGCGGCGAAGGCGACUCUCUGGCCCGUAACUGACGCUGAGGUGCGAAAGCUAGGGGAGCAAACGGGAUUAGAUACCCCGGUAGUCCUAGCCGUAAACGAUGGGCACUCGGUAGAGGGGUUUUGAUUAUCUCUCUGCCUGAGCUAACGCGUUAAGUGCCCCGCCUGGGGAGUACGGCCGCAAGGCUAAAACUCAAAAGA